UACCAGCACCCCGAGUGGUCGGGACGAUUAUUGGGCCUAAAGCAUCCGUAGCCGGUUUUACACGUCCUCCGUUAAAUCCAGCUGCUUAACAGAUGGGCUGCGGAGGAUACUAUAAGACUAGGAGGCAGGAGAGGCAAGCGGUACUCAGUGGGUAGGGGUAAAAUCCGUUGAUCCAUUGAAGACCACCAGUGGCGAAGGCGGCUUGCCAGAACGCACUCGACGGUGAGGGAUGAAAGCUGGGGGAGCAAACCGG
rnacentral:rRNA from 1 species